rnacentral:rRNA from 1 species
UACGUAGGGUGCUAGCGUUGUCCGGAUUUAUUGGGCGUAAAGAGCUUGUAGGCGGCUCGUCGCGUCGGGUGUGAAAACUUGCGGCUUAACCGCAAGCCUGCACCCGAUACGGGCGGGCUAGAGUUCGGCAGGGGAGACUGGAAUUCCUGGUGUAGCGGUGGAAUGCGCAGAUAUCAGGAGGAACACCGGUGGCGAAGGCGGGUCUCUGGGCCGAUACUGACGCUGAGGAGCGAAAGCGUGGGGAGCGAACAGG